rnacentral:rRNA from 1 species
GUCUACAGCCAUACCUCCCAAACAAACCCAAUCUCAUCUGAUCUCGGAAACUAAGUGGAGUUGGUCUGGUUAGCACUCAGACGGGAGAAACUAAAACCAGAGAGAAUAAGGCACUGCUUAUA